rnacentral:lncRNA from 1 species
AUGUCUAGGGCCCUUGAUUUCCUGCAGGAGAGGAUCCUUACUUCAGGAUCAUGCAUAGGUGUCAUCAUAACUGAAUUUUAGAAAGAAAUGUAUCUUUAGGGAAAAAAAAGGCAUCUGCAUCAUAAAUAUGAAGUGAACCAGACAAGCUUCUGCUGGCAGCUCAUGUCAUUGUUGCCAUUGAAAAUCCAGCUGAUGUGACUCAUAUCUUCUAGGAACACCAGCUAUUCUGUGUUACUGAAAUGGAUUGCAUUUACCAUCCACACCUAUUGCUGCAUAUACUUCAUUCUCAGACUUUACUAAGCAGAUCUAGGCAGCUUUCUUGGAGCCCCACGUUUUGCUGGGUGCUGAUUACAGCAUUGACCUCCCAUGAAGGCAUGUGAUGUUCCUGAUCACCAUGGCCCUGGGUAACAGAGAUCCUCCUCUGUGUUAUGUGGACACUGCCAUCCAUCCAGCAAUAAGGAGGUAUGCUCACUGGGUCUGAUGUGAUAGAUGCUGGCCCAGGAAGUCUUGUGCAUGUGUGGCAGCAUUCCUCUUGAGCACCCAUGGAAGUCGUGCCUGUCCUCUAUUUCUCUACAUGUACUAAAGAGAUUCUUUUUAAAGCAAGUUGUUAUUGAAAAAAAGUACGACCAAGGAGAUAUGUCAGUGUGAAUGGACUUUCCCAACUCCUGAAUUUACUGCUACUCCAUUUGAUAUUACAGACUGGCCUGAAGUCUUGCAAGUUUCCCUCUUAGACUAUUCAUUCUUACCUAUUGGAGACUAGGGUGUUCAGCCCAUGACUGAAGACAGGUCAGCAACAACGUCUGCUCAGGCUAUUGAAU